GAUGAACGCUGGCGGCGUGCCUAAUACAUGCAAGUCGAGCGAACAGACGAGGAACUUGCUCCUCUUACGUUAGCGGCGGACGGGUGAGUAACACGUGGAUAACCUACCUAUAAGACUGGGAUAACUUCGGGAAACCGGAGCUAAUACCGGAUAAUAUAUUGAACCGCAUGGUUCAAUAGUGAAAGACGGUUUUGCUGUCACUUAUAGAUGGAUCCGCGCCGCAUUAGCUAGUUGGUAAGGUAACGGCUUACCAAGGCAACGAUGCGUAGCCGACCUGAGAGGGUGAUCGGCCACACUGGAACUGAGACACGGUCCAGACUCCUACGGGAGGCAGCAGUAGGGAAUCUUCCGCAAUGGGCGAAAGCCUGACGGAGCAACGCCGCGUGAGUGAUGAAGGUCUUCGGAUCGUAAAACUCUGUUAUUAGGGAAGAAUAAAUGUGUAAGUAACUAUGCACGUCUUGACGGUACCUAAUCAGAAAGCCACGGCUAACUACGUG
rnacentral:rRNA from 1 species